rnacentral:rRNA from 1 species
GACGUAGGAUGCGAGCGUUGUCCGGAUUUAUUGGGCGUAAAGAGUUCGUAGAUGGCCUGAUAAGUUAGCAGUGGGAAAUCGAGGCUCAACCUCGUGGAAGCUGGUAAUACUGUUAGGCUAGAGUGCAGGAGAGGUUAACGGAACUCCAUGUGGAGCGGUAAAAUGUGUAGAUAUAUGGAAGAACAUCAAUAACGGCGAAGGCAGUUAACUAUUCUGUUACUGACGUUGAGGCACGAAAGCGUGGGGAGCAAAACGG